rnacentral:rRNA from 1 species
UACGGAGGGGGCUAGCGUUAUUCGGAAUUAUUGGGCGUAAAGAGCGUGUAGGCGGCUAUACAGGUCCGUUGUGAAAACUCGAGGCUCAACCUCGAGACGCCGAUGGAAACCGUAUGGCUAGAGUCCGGAAGAGGAGAGCGGAAUUCCUGGUGUAGCGGUGAAAUGCGCAGAUAUCAGGAAGAACACCCGUGGCGAAGGCGGCUCUCUGGGACGGUACUGACGCUGAGACGCGAAAGCGUGGGGAGCGAACAGG